GGAGAAGCGUCUUCCGCGCUGGACCGUGUAAAAGUCUCCUGGAACGGAGCGUCAUAGAGGGUGAGAAUCCCGUCUUUGACACGGACUACCAGUGCUUUGUGAUGCGCUCUCAAAGAGUCGAGUUGUUUGGGAAUGCAGCUCAAAAUGGGUGGUAAACUCCAUCUAAAGCUAAAUAUUGGCGAGAGACCGAUAGCGAACAAGUACCGUGAGGGAAAGAUGAAAAGCACUUUGGAAAGAGAGUUAAACAGUACGUGAAAUUGCUGAAAGGGAAACGCUUGAAGUCAGUCGCGUUUGCUAGGACUCAGCCUUGCCUCGGCUUGGUGCACUUCCUAGUAGACGGGCCAGCAUCACUUUUGGCUGCGGGAAAAAGGUCAGAGGAAUGUGGCACCUUCGGGUGUGUUAUAGCCUCUGGCUGUAUACCGUGGCUGGGAGUGAGGAUCUCAGCACGCCUCACGGCGGGGCUUCGGCCACCUUCGUGCUUAGGAUGCUGGCGUAAUGGCUUUAAACGACCCGUCUUGAAACACGGACCAAGGAGUCUAACAUGCCUGCGAGUGUUUGGGUGGAAAACCCGAGCGCGUAAUGAAAGUGAAAGUUGGGACCUCUGUCGUGGAGGGCACCGACGCCCGGACCAGAACUUCGGGGACGGAUCUGCGGUAGAGCAUGUAUGUUGGGACCCGAAAGAUGGUGAACUAUGCCUGAAUAGGGUGNCCAGAGGAAACUCUGGUGGAGGCUCGUAGGGNNCNACGUGCAAAUCGAUCGUCAAAUUUGGGUAUAGGGGCGAAAG
rnacentral:rRNA from 1 species